CACUCUUCUCCUCUGUUCCCAUUAAUUAAGUGAGAACACAUUGAUAGAAGAUUAGUUAGUGGUAGACCAUAGACCUUCAUCCAUUCUUAUAUUCUUAUUAAUAUUCAAAAGCAUGGAAUCAAAUUUAAUUUUAAUAGAUUUGCCAUGGAAGGCAACGACAAAUUUGAGAGAAACAAGAGAUAGAAAGGAAGGGAACGGGAGGGUCUCAAGUCUUGAGGUUUUGGGGUUUCGAGAGCCUAGAGAUUCUGUCUUGGCAUUUGUUUGGGUAGCGAAUGGCUGGUGGCAAUUUGACUGUUACGAAUAGAGAUAUGCUUCGCAGGCAGCUUGGGGAUUACUAAUGUGAAAUUGGGCUCUCUUUUUUUUUAUAAGAUUAUUUCACAAAUAUUACAAAAAUAACAAAAAAUUACAAAAAUAUGGUAUAAAAUUUUAAAUAUUUUUAUGAUGUUAUUUAUAGAAAAUACGGUCUUUUAAUAUAUUUUUAUGUUGUACUUUUGUAAUUUAUUAUAUGUUAUUUUUUUGUUGUUGUUUUGAUAUUAUUUUCCAGUUAUUUUAUAUGUUUUUCUUGUU